UAAGCUUCGGAUCCAAAACUGC
rnacentral:siRNA from 1 species